UGUAAUUGCAUCGUCCCAUGGAUCUUGCAGCGGGGUUUUGCCUCCUCCAUUAGUUACUGACUGGAUUCGUCGAACACGUUUCAAGACAGAGCUACAAUCUUCAAAUUUUGCAUUAGUAAUUCAUUCGAAAGUCUCAAUGGCUUCUCCGACUGGUCCAACGGCUGUGGACAAGGAACAGAUAUUUGGUAUGGCAGAAAAGGAGAUGGAAUAUCGAGUUGAACUGUUCAACAAGCUUACACACUCGUGUUUUAACAAAUGUGUCGAUAAGAGGUACAAGGAAUCUGAGCUGAAUAUGGGUGA